rnacentral:tRNA from 1 species
UGGUAGUUCAAUGGCAGAACGCUGGGUUGUGGCCCCGGAGACACGGGUUCGAUUCCCGUCCUU